rnacentral:rRNA from 1 species
UACGAGAGCCUCGAGCGUUAUCCGGAAUUAUUGGGCGUAAAGGGUGCGUAGGUUGUUCUGUUAGUCUUUCGUCAAAGCCCCGUGCUUAACAUGGGAUAUGCGUAAGAAACGGCAGAACUUGAAAGUGCGAGAGGCGUACGGAACUCAUGGUGUAGGGGUGAAAUCCGUUGAUAUCAUGGGGAACACCAAAAGCGAAGGCAGUACGCUGGCGCAUAUUUGACACUGAAGCACGAAAGCGUGGGUAGCGAAUGGG